GCAAACUUGGUCAUUUAGAGGAAGUAAAAGUCGUAACAAGGUUUCCGUAGGUGAACCUGCGGAAGGAUCAUUAACGAGUUAGGGUCCUCCGGGGCCCGACCUCCCACCCUUUGUUGUCGCGAAUUCGUUGCCUCGGCGGGACGGCCGCCCCGGGUGUCACAGCCCGGGCGGCCACCGGGCCCCUCUCUUCGGGGCCCCGGCCAGCGCCCGCCGCGGGACCACACAACUCUUGUCUUUGACCGUACAGUCCGAGCAAAUUUGAAUUAAUAAAUCAAAACUUUCAACAACGGAUCUCUUGGUUCUGGCAUCGAUGAAGAACGCAGC
rnacentral:misc_RNA from 1 species